rnacentral:rRNA from 1 species
CAGUCGCCGCGGUAAUACGAAGGGUGCAAGCGUUAAUCGGAAUUACUGGGCGUAAAGCGCGCGUAGGUGGUUUGGUAAGAUGGAUGUGAAAUCCCCGGGCUCAACCUGGGAACUGCAUCCAUAACUGCCUGACUAGAGUACGGUAGAGGGUGGUGGAAUUUCCUGUGUAGCGGUGAAAUGCGUAGAUAUAGGAAGGAACACCAGUGGCGAAGGCGACCACCUGGACUGAUACUGACACUGAGGUGCGAAAGCGUGGGGAGCAAACAGGAUUAGAGACCCGAGUAGUCCCUGUCUCUUAUAC